GGCAGCAGUGGGGAAUAUUGCACAAUGGGCGCAAGCCUGAUGCAGCCAUGCCGCGUGUAUGAAGAAGGCCUUCGGGUUGUAAAGUACUUUCAGCAGUGAGGAAGGUGGGUAUGUUAAUAGCAUACUCAUUUGACGUUAGCUGCAGAAGAAGCACCGGCUAACUCCGUGCCAGCAGCCGCGGUAAUACGGAGGGUGCGAGCGUUAAUCGGAAUUACUGGGCGUAAAGCGCAUGCAGGUGGUUUGUUAAGUCAGAUGUGAAAGCCCGGGGCUCAACCUCGGAAUUGCAUUUGAAACUGGCAAACUAGAGUACUGUAGAGGGGGUAGAAUUUCAGGUGUAGCGGUGAAAUGCGUAGAGAUCUGAAGGAAUACCGGUGGCGAAGGCGGCCCCCUGGACAGAUACUGACACUCAGAUGCGAAAGCGUGGGGAGCAAACAGGAUUAGAUACCCCGGUAG
rnacentral:rRNA from 1 species